rnacentral:rRNA from 1 species
GACGAACGCUGGCGGCGUGCUUAACACAUGCAAGUCGAACGAUGAAACCUAGCUUGCUAGGUCGAUUAGUGGCGAACGGGUGAGUAACACGUGACUAACCUGCCCCUUUCUCUGGGAUAACGCUCCGAAAGGAGUGCUAAUACCGGAUACUCACACCGAGGCACAUGCCUUGGUGUGGAAAGUUUUUCGGAAAGGGAUGGAGUCGCGGCCUAUCAGCUUGUUGGUGAGGUAACGGCUCACCAAGGCGACGACGGGUAGCCGGCCUGAGAGGGCGACCGGCCACACUGGGACUGAGACACGGCCCAGACUCCUACGGGAGGCAGCAGUGGGGAAUAUUGCACAAUGGGCGCAAGCCUGAUGCAGCGACGCCGCGUGAGGGAUGAAGGUCUUCGGAUUGUAAACCUCUUUCAGUAGGGACGAAGCGAAAGUGACGGUACCUAAAGAAGAAGCACCGGCUAACUACGUGCCAGCAGCCGCAGUAA